rnacentral:lncRNA from 1 species
UCUCUGCCUCCCCAGGGCUGGGGUUAUAAGCACUGGCCACCACAUCCAGCUUUUUAGUGUGGGUGCUGGGGAUCAAACUCAGGCCCUUGGGUGUGUGCGGGCAAGCGCUUUACUGACUGGUCCACCCCCCCCCCCAGCAUCUUCCCGUUCUAUCUUGACUGUUAGAGUGGGGAGGGCAGGAAGUGUACGGGGAGUGAUUGGAACGGAUCGCACCAAACUUGAACUGUGCGUAGAAAUGGACACCCGUGUCCGUUUGCAGUGCUACACCGAAAGACCCUGGACCAGGCGAGGUCUGGUUCACAUGGUGGCACCAGGGAGAUGCUCCGGUGACACACAGUGCAAAGCUUGCCCCAGGGUAACCCCUUGUCCAUCCCUGGGCUUUGUCAAGAUGCAGCCAGAGGCUGGUUCACAAGAAGCAAUUGGUGGCUUCACG